GCUUCGGGAACGCAGGACUUAAAAUCCUGUGACCCGCAACGGUCGUAACGGUUCAAGUCCGUUCCGGGGCA
rfam:Flavisolibacter tropicus strain LCS9, complete genome.